GACUGCCUACGGGAGGCAGCAGUGAGGAAUAUUGGUCAAUGGGCGCGAGCCUGAACCAGCCAAGUAGCGUGAAGGAUGACUGCCCUACGGGUUGUAAACUUCUUUUAUAAAGGAAUAAAGUGAGGCACGUGUGCCUUUUUGUAUGUACUUUAUGAAUAAGGAUCGGCUAACUCCGUGCCAGCAGCCGCGGUAAUACGGAGGAUCCGAGCGUUAUCCGGAUUUAUUGGGUUUAACGUGAGCGUAGAUGGGUUGUUAAGUCAGUUGUGAAAGUUUGCGGCUCAACUGUAAAAUUGCAAUUG
rnacentral:rRNA from 1 species